ensembl:misc_RNA Y_RNA Y RNA
GGCUGGUCAGAAUGCAGUGGGGUUUACAACUAAUUGAUCACAACCACUUACAGAUUUCUUUGUUCCUUCUCCCCUCCCACUGCUUCAUUUGACUAGCCUUAA